GGCGGGGUAGUACAACAUCGGGGUGGUGGCGCAGUUGGCUAGCGCGUAGGUCUCAUAGCUUCUGAGUGAUCCUGAGGUCGAGAGUUCGAGCCUCUCUCACCCCAA
rnacentral:tRNA from 1 species